rnacentral:rRNA from 1 species
GAUGAACGCUGGCGGCGUGCCUAAUACAUGCAAGUCGAGCGAACAGACGAGGAGCUUGCUCCUCUGACGUUAGCGGCGGACGGGUGAGUAACACGUGGAUAACCUACCUAUAAGACUGGGAUAACUUCAGGAAACCGGAGCUAAUACCGGAUAAUAUAUUGAACCGCAUGGUUCAAUAGUGAAAGACGGUUUUGCUGUCACUUAUAGAUGGAUCCGCGCCGCAUUAGCUAGUUGGUAAGGUAACGGCUUACCAAGGCAACGAUGCGUAGCCGACCUGAGAGGGUGAUUGGCCACACUGGAACUGAGAAACGGUCCAGACUCCUACGGGAAGAAGCAGUAGGGAAUCUUACGCAAUGGGCGAAAGCUUGACGGAGCAACGCCGCGUAAGUGAUGAAGGUCUUCGGAUCGUAAAACUAUGUUAUUAGGGAAGAACAAAUGUGUAAGUAACUAUGCGCGUCUUGACGGUACCUAAUCAGAAAGCCACGGCUAACUACGUG